CAGCAGCCGCGGUAAUUCGAGAGGGGCAAGCGUUGUUCGGAAUUAUUGGGCGUAAAGGGUGCGUAGGCGGUUUCGUAAGUCUGAUGUGAAAUCUACGGGCUCAACCCAUAGUCUGCAUCGGAAACUGCGAGGCUUGAGAGUGGGAGAGGUGAGUGGAAUCUCCGGUGUAGCGGUGAAAUGCGUAGAUAUCGGAAGGAACACCUGUGGCGAAAGCGGCUCACUGGACCAUUUCUGACGCUGAUGCACGAAAGCUAGGGGAGCAAACAGGAUUAGAUACCCCAGUAGUCCCUGUCUCUUAUAC
rnacentral:rRNA from 1 species